rnacentral:misc_RNA from 1 species
UCAAACUUGGUCAUUUAGAGGAAGUAAAAGUCGUAACAAGGUUUCCGUAGGUGAACCUGCGGAAGGAUCAUUACCGAGUGCGGGCUCUUCCAGCCCAAUCUCCCAUCCGUGUCGACCGUGACCCUGUUUGCUUCGGCGGGCCGAUCGGGGCCCCUGUCCGGUCGCCCGGGGCGUCAUGCCCCCGGGCCCGCGCCCGCCGGAGUGCCCGUGAACCCUGUGUGGAUUCGGCGUCUGAGUGAGGAGAUAAUCAUGAAAACUUUCAACAACGGAUCUCUUGGUUCCGGCAUCGAUGAAGAACGCAGC